AUGAACGCUAGCUACAGGCUUAACACAUGCAAGUCGAGGGGAAACGGCAUCGAAAGCUUGCUUUUGAUGGGCGUCGACCGGCGCACGGGUGAGUAACGCGUAUCCAACCUGCCCAUCACUUGGGAAUAACCUUGCGAAAGUAAGACUAAUGCCCAAUGACAUCCCACGAAGGCAUCCGAAUGGGAUUAAAGAUUUAUCGGUGAUGGAUGGGGAUGCGUCUGAUUAGCUUGUUGGCGGGGUGACGGCCCACCAAGGCAACGAUCAGUAGGGGUUCUGAGAGGAAGGUCCCCCACAUUGGAACUGAGACACGGUCCAAACUCCUACGGGAGGCAGCAGUGAGGAAUAUUGGUCAAUGGGCGAGAGCCUGAACCAGCCAAGUAGCGUGCAGGAUGACGGCCCUAUGGGUUGUAAACUGCUUUUAGAAGGGAAUAAAGUGGGUCACGUGUGACUUUUUGCAUGUACCUUAUGAAUAAGAACCGGCUAAUUCCGUG
rnacentral:rRNA from 1 species